UAAGUUAUCGUUGACCCGGCCAA
rnacentral:siRNA from 1 species